rnacentral:lncRNA from 10 species
AUCUCUGCUUCCCUUGCUGUGUUCAGUGACUGACUGGGAGUAGCCCAUUCGGUGUGGGGCUUGUGAAGGCUGUGGUGGAUCCUGAGGUGCAGCCGCUAGAGGCUGUCCACUGACUACACCCUCCCAGAAGGGAAGCUUGGAAAGAGCAUUUCCACGGGGUUCUGAAUUGCAUGCUGACAAAUUGACCCAACCAGAUUUGCUCCCUUGUGAAGAACAAAUGCCUGCUGCUAAGGAUAGACGACUCACCCGGUCCUUGGGAAUGCUUAUAGGACCUCAAUGACACUUGGCUCUUGUUUCAGUUCCCUGCUCUGAUCUAACACAAGCCUUGUCCAGCCUCAUCUUGAGUUUUCAGCUGAGGAAACGGAGGCUCAAAUGCUCGUCAGUUUCCCAGGGACGUGGGCUGGUGAUAUACCUGCUCAUAUCCACUGCCUGUUUUUAGAGAAGAGGCAUCCAGAAUGGCAGAAAGAUGCAUGGCAAUGUCCUCAUUGUGUCAGGCGUGGCUUGGGUCCCUGUACCCUACUGAAGAAAUUUGAAGGUGCCACAGAAGAGAACCCAAAACAAGCCACAGAAAUGAGCCAAAGUAAUUAAAGGUGAGGGUAUAGAAAAGUGAAAUGAAUAAAGAUUGUUUAGGCCAGAGAAUAGAAGACUAAGGGGGAGGGGAAAGAAGGUAAACCUUACAAUUCUGAAUGAUUAGUGUCAUGGUUUGUGUGGCUAUAACAGAAUGCUAUAGACUGGGUGAUUUAUUAAUAUAAUAAAGAGAAAUUUAUUGGCUAAUAGUUCUGGAGGCUGGAAAGUCCAAGGUCAAGAUGCUGGCAGGUUUGGUGUGUGGUGAGGGCCUGGUCUCUGCUUCUAAGAUGGCACCUUGAAUGCUGCAUCCUCUGGAGGGGAGGAGCACUGUUCCUCACAUGACAGAUAAGUGGAAGAGCUAAGAGAAGGCAAGAGAGAGGCAGGGACUGAACUCACCCUUUCAUAAGGAACCUACUCCUGAGCUAACAAACCCACUCCCGCAAUAAUGACAUUAAUUCAUUCAUGAGACAGAGCCCUCAGGACCUAAUCAUCUCUUAUUAGGCACCCCUCCCAACAUUGAUGCACUGGGGAUUAAGUUUCCAACAAAUGAAUUUUGGGGGACACAUUCAAACCAUAGCAUGGAGUCUUUUGAGAAGGAUGGCUGAUGUGUG